rnacentral:rRNA from 1 species
GAUCCUGGCUCAGAUUGAACGCUGGCGGCAGGCCUAACACAUGCAAGUCGAACGGUAACAGGAAGAAGCUUGCUUCUUUGCUGACGAGUGGCGGACGGGUGAGUAAUGUCUGGGAAACUGCCUGAUGGAGGGGGAUAACUACUGGAAACGGUAGCUAAUACCGCAUAACGUCGCAAGACCAAAGAGGGGGACCUCGGGUCCGUCCUUGUCCACUCGGAGUGUGCCGACGAUGGGAGUUAGUCUAGUAGGUGGGGUAACGGG